UUGAUUUUAUUUUUUAUGUUUUUAGAUGUUCAUGUUUUUGAAUGUUUUAUUCAAAUAAUAUAAAAAAUAAAAUAUAUAUUGACAUGGAUUAAACAAAGAUAUAUAUUAUUCUAUGUUGUAUAAACAAAUUGGCAAAAUAGAGAUGGAAGAUAAAAAUAUGGUCAAAGUAAUAAGAGUCA
rnacentral:misc_RNA from 1 species